rnacentral:rRNA from 1 species
GGGGAAUAUUGCACAAUGGGCGGAAGCCUGAUGCAGCGACGCCGCGUGGGGGAUGACGGUCUUCGGAUUGUAAACCCCUUUCAGUAGGGACGAAGCGCAAGUGACGGUACCUGCAGAAGAAGCACCGGCCAACUACGUGCCAGCAGCCGCGGUAAUACGUAGGGUGCGAGCGUUGUCCGGAAUUACUGGGCGUAAAGAGCUCGUAGGCGGUUUGUCACGUCGUCCGUGAAAUCCUCCAGCUUAACUGGGGGCGUGCAGGCGAUACGGGCAGACUUGAGUACUACAGGGGAGACUGGAAUUCCUGGUGUAGCGGUGAAAUGCGCAGACAUCAGGAGGAACACCGGUGGCGAAGGCGGGUCUCUGGGUAGUAACUGACGCUGAGGAGCGAAAGCAUGGGUAGCGAAC